rnacentral:rRNA from 1 species
UGAAUACGAGAUGCUAAGGCGUCGAAGUAGUGUAUGUCAUGCUUCCAAGAAAAGCUUGCACUGUCAAAGUAAAAAAUGCCUGUACCAUAACCGACACAGGUGGGUAAGUAGAGUAUACUAAGGGGCGCGAGAUAACUCUCUCUAAGGAACUCGGCAAAAUGACUCCGUAACUUCGGGAGAAGGAGUGCCUUAUUUUUAAGGUUGCAAUAACAAGAUCCAAGCAACUGUUUAUCAAAAACACAGGUCUCCGCUAAGUCGUAAGACGAUGUAUGGGGGCUGACGCCUGCCCAGUGCCAGAAGGUUAAAGAAGUCGGUUAGCAAUUGCGAAGCUGGUAACUGAAGCUCUGGUGAACGGCGGCCGUAACAAUAACGGUCCUAAGGUAGCGAAAUUCCUUGUCGGGUAAGUUCCGACCCGCACGAAAGGCGUAAUGAUUUGGAUGCUGUCUCGGAGAGAGGCUCGGUGAAAUAGACUUGUCUGUGAAGAUGCGGACUACCUGCACCAGGACAGAAAGACCCUAUGAAGCUUUACUGUAACUUGAAAUUGAAAUUGGACUUUAUUCGCGCAGUAUAGGUGGGAGGCGUUGAUUAUAAUCUUGUGGGAUUAUUGGAGCCAUCAGUGAGAUACCACUCUUGUAAUGUUAGAUUUCUAACUUUGAAUCAUUAUCUGGUCAAAGGACAAUUUCAGGCGGGCAGUUUGACUGGGGCGGUCGCCUCCUAAAUGGUAACGGAGGCGUACAAAGGUUUCCUCUGAACGGUUAGAAAUCGUAUCUAGAGUGUAAAGGCAUAAGGAAGCUUGACUGUGAGACCUACAAGUCGAGCAGGGACGAAAGUCGGUCUUAGUGAUCUGACGGUACUGAGUGGAAAGGCCGUCACUCAACGGAUAAAAGUUACUCUAGGAUAACAGGCUGAUCUCCCCCAAGAGUUCACAUCGACGGGGAGGUUUGGCACCUCGAUGUCGGCUCAUCGCAUCCUGGGGCGGUAGUACGUCCCAAGGGUUGGGCUGUUCGCCCAUGAAAGCGGUACGCGAGCUGGGUUCAGAACGUCGUGAGACAGUUCGGUCCAUAUCCGGUGUAGGCGUUAGAAUAUUGAGAGGAGCCUUCUUUAGUACGAGAGGACCGAGAAGGACAUACCUCUGGUGUACCAGUUAUCGUGCCAACGGUAAACGCUGGGUAGCUAUGUAUGGAGUGGAUAACCGCUGAAAGCAUCUAAGUGGGAAGCCCACCUCAAGAUAAG